AGACCCGAAACCCGGUGAUCUAGCCAUGGGCAGGUUGAAGGUUGGGUAACACUAACUGGAGGACCGAACCGACUAAUGUUGAAAAAUUAGCGGAUGACUUGUGGCUGGGGGUGAAAGGCCAAUCAAACCGGGAGAUAGCUGGUUCUCCCCGAAAGCUAUUUAGGUAGCGCCUCGUGAAUUCAUCUCCGGGGGUAGAGCACUGUUUCGGCAAGGGGGUCAUCCCGACUUACCAACCCGAUGCAAACUGCGAAUACCGGAGAAUGUUAUCACGGGAGACACACGGCGGGUGCUAACGUCCGUCGUGAAGAGGGAAACAACCCAGACCGCCAGCUAAGGUCCCAAAGUCAUGGUUAAGUGGGAAACGAUGUGGGAAGGCCCAGACAGCCAGGAUGUUGGCUUAGAAGCAGCCAUCAUUUAAAGAAAGCGUAAUAGCUCACUGGUCGAGUCGGCCUGCGCGGAAGAUGUAACGGGGCUAAACCAUGCACCGAAGCUGCGGCAGCGACACUGUGUGUUGUUGGGUAGGGGAGCGUUCUGUAAGCCUGUGAAGGUGUGCUGUGAGGCAUGCUGGAGGUAUCAGAAGUGCGAAUGCUGACAUAAGUAACGAUAAAGCGGGUGAAAAGCCCGCUCGCCGGAAGACCAAGGGUUCCUGUCCAACGUUAAUCGGGGCAGGGUGAGUCGACCCCUAAGGCGAGGCCGAAAGGCGUAGUCGAUGGGAAACAGGUUAAUAUUCCUGUACUUGGUGUUACUGCGAAGGGGGGACGGAGAAGGCUAUGUUGGCCGGGCGACGGUUGUCCCGGUUUAAGCGUGUAGGCUGGUUUUCCAGGCAAAUCCGGAAAAUCAAGGCUGAGGCGUG
rnacentral:rRNA from 2 species